GAUGAACGCUAGCGAUAGGCUUAACACAUGCAAGUCGAGGGGCAGCACAAGGUAGCUUGCUAUCUGGGUGGCGACCGGCGCACGGGUGCGUAACGCGUAUGCAACUUGCCCUAUACAGGAGGAUAACCCGUCGAAAGACGGACUAAUACUGCGUAUGCUCACAACUUGGCAUCCAGUGGUGAGGAAAGAAAUUCGGUAUAGGAUAGGCAUGCGUCCCAUUAGCUUGUUGGUGAGGUAACGGCUCACCAAGGCAACGAUGGGUAGGGGAACUGAGAGGUGUAUCCCCCACACUGGUACUGAGACACGGACCAGACUCCUACGGGAGGCAGCAGUGAGGAAUAUUGGUCAAUGGGCGCGAGCCUGAACCAGCCAAGUCGCGUGAAGGAUGACUGUCUUAUGGAUUGUAAACUUCUUUUAUACGGGAAUAACAAGAGUCACGGGUGACUCCCUGCAUGUACCGGAUGAAUAAGCAUCGGCUAACUCCGUG
rnacentral:rRNA from 1 species